GACGAACGCUGGCGGCGUGCUUAACACAUGCAAGUCGAACGGAAAGGCCCUGCUUUUGUGGGGUGCUCGAGUGGCGAACGGGUGAGUAACACGUGAGUAACCUGCCCUUUAUUUUGGGAUAACUUCAGGAAACUGGGGCUAAUACCGGAUAGGAGCUCCUGCUGCAUGGUGGGGGUUGGAAAGUUUCGGCGGUUGGGGAUGGACUCGCGGCUUAUCAGCUUGUUGGUGGGGUAGUGGCUUACCAAGGCUUUGACGGGUAGCCGGCCUGAGAGGGUGACCGGCCACAUUGGGACUGAGAUACGGCCCAGACUCCUACGGGAGGCAGCAGUGGGGAAUAUUGCACAAUGGGCGGAAGCCUGAUGCAGCAACGCCGCGUGCGGGAUGACGGCCUUCGGGUUGUAAACCGCUUUCGCCUGUGACGAAGCGUGAGUGACGGUAAUGGGUAAAGAAGCACCGGCUAACUACGUG
rnacentral:rRNA from 1 species